rnacentral:rRNA from 1 species
UACCAGCACCCCGAGUGGUCGGGACGUUUAUUGGGCCUAAAGCAUCCGUAGCCGGUUCUACAAGUCUUCCGUUAAAUCCAACUGCUUAACAGGUGGGCUGCGGAAGAUACUAUAGAGCUAGGAGGCGGGAGAGGCAAGCGGUACUCGAUGGGUAGGGGUAAAAUCCGUUGACCCAUUGAAGACCACCAGUGGCGAAGGCGGCUUGCCAGAACGCGCUCGACGGUGAGGGAUGAAAGCUGGGGGAGCAAACCGG